AACGAACGCUGGCGGCGUGCCUAACACAUGCAAGUCGAGCGAGAAAAGGGGGCGAACUACCCUGAGUACAGCGGCGCACGGGUGAGUAACACGCAGGUAACCUGCCCUCGAGCUCGGAAUAACCUACCGAAAGGUGGGCUAAUACCGGAUAUGACCACGGGAGUUUCGGCUCCUGCGGUGAAAGGUGGCCUCUACCUGUAAGCUACCACUCAAGGAUGGGCCUGCGUGCCAUUAGCUAGUUGGUAAGGUAACGGCUCACCAAGGCUAUGAUGGCUAGCUGGUCUGAGAGGAGGGCCAGCCACACUGGGACUGAAACACGGCCCAGACUCCUACGGGAAGGCAGCAGUAAGGAAUAUUGCUCAAUGGCCGAAAGGCUGAAGCAGCAACGCCGCGUGAGGGAUGAAGGCCUUUGUNUCGUAAACCUCUGUAGAAGGGGAGAAACUUUCCGCUCUGCGG
rnacentral:rRNA from 1 species